rnacentral:lncRNA from 13 species
UGUCAUGCAGAAUAAAUUAUUGUUCUUAUCAGUGCUAAAUGCAGAAUGGACCCUUCGAGUUACAGUUGCCCCUUUGGAUCUAAGACUGACGGCUCAUUAGACUGGACAUGAAGGAGUGUGUGCCUUCAUUCCGGGAACGACGCCAACACCUUAGGAGAGAAGGCCGUAGAUAAAAUAUUCUGUAAACCUUUUACUCACUCGAGGGUUGAAAAUCACGUCUUCUACCUCCAUAUUCCUCCAGUUAAAAAACCUACGUGCAAUGUCCAGUUAACCUCUGAACAGUUAGUUAUUUCAGUUGUUAUGCUACCAAAACAGUAUUAACUAACACACACACAUGACGAUCAGUAUCUGUGCACGAAGUUGUCAGUCUGGGAAAGCUUCCUCUAGGAAAAGGGGAGGCAGUUAAGCCUGGAAAUUUGCCUUGGACGUAUGUAAGCGUGUCGUUUCUCUCUUCCCUUCCCUUGGGCUCUUCCACCAUGUUUCCAUCGACCAACCUAACGUGCUGAAAAAACAGCCGCUUGGACUUCACUUCUUCCUCCUCUGUAAACCACGUGUGGAUCCGCUCUUGACCACGGAGCACUUGGCUGGCAAAUGAGACACUGCAGCUCACUCGAAAUGACGCAGUUCAAUCCAAAACAAAUACAGAAUGCAGACUCUGCCCUCUCUCCCAGGCACUUCUGCCUUGGGCGGAAGGAGGUGAGGUAAGAAACGACUUCUUCAGAUGAAGAGCCCAGGACUGGAAAGGAGGACGGAAACGAAUCACACCUACUCAACAUGGCGCCACACGUGGCACAUGUGAUGGACACAUGAGAAAGGAGCCGAGCCGCCGGGUGAGAGAGGCCCCAUCAGCGCACCCUGGUCCCGUGGCCCCUGGGCUUUUCCAAAGGUGAGUGCACGAGGUGGUGUGGUGUGGAGGGACAGGGUGGCUUACAGUCAUCUGCUCAGGGAGGAGUCCCAGCUGUUGUGAAAUGUGUGCAAUGAACACACACACUGUGUGUUCGCACAGACACAUCAGACAGCCACAACGUGUUGAGCAGCAAACGGAGGCGG